rnacentral:tRNA from 1 species
GCCGAGGUGGCGGAAUUGGUAGACGCGCUAGCUUCAGGUGUUAGUGGGGGUAACCCCGUGGAGGUUCAAGUCCUCUCCUCGGCACCA